GCCAAUGAUGACUAUUUUCAAAGAUUAAAGCAAGUCUCUGUACUUGUUUUAUGUUGAGAAAUUUGAAACUAGGACGGUCUGAGGU